rnacentral:rRNA from 1 species
CCUACGGGGGGCAGCAGUGAGGAAUAUUGGUCAAUGGCCGGAAGGCUGAACCAGCCAAGCCGCGUGAGGGAGGAAGGCGCAGAGCGUUGCAGACCUCUCUUGCCGGGGGACAAAAUGCCGGACUCGUCCGUUCCUGAGGGUACCCGGAGAAAAAGCAUCGGCUAACUCCGUGCCAGCAGCCGCGGUAAUACGGAGGAUGCAAGCGUUAUCCGGAUUUACUGGGUGUAAAGGGGGCGCAGGCGGCGAUGCAAGCCAGGGGUGAAAGCCCGGGGCCCAACCCCGGGACAGCUCUUGAAACUGGGUGGCUGGAGAGGAGGAGGGGCAGGCGGAAUUCGUGGUGUAGCGGUGAAAUGCGUAGAUAUCAGGAGGAACACCGGUGGCGAAGGCGGCCUGCUGGACUGGAACUGACGUUGAGGCCCGAAAGCGUGGGGAGCAAACAGGAUUAGAUACCCCAGUAGUC